rnacentral:rRNA from 1 species
AGUAACGCUGGCGGUAUGCCCUAACACAUUCAAGUCGAACGAAAGUUUAUACUUUAGUGUCACGGACGGGUGAGUAUACUGGAGAAUCUACCUUUAGAAGGGAAUAACAAUUGGAAACGAUUGCUAAUGCCCUAUAUGCUUAGCAGUGAAACAGAUUUAUCUGCCUGAAGAUGAGCUCGCGCCUGAUUAGCUAGUUGGUAGAGUAAAAGCCUACCAAGGCAACGAUCAGUAGCUGGUUUGAGAGGACGAUCAGCCACACUGGGACUGAGACACGGCCCAGACUUCUACGGAAGGCAGCAGUGGGGAAUUUUCCGCAAUGAGCGAAAGCUUGACGGAGCAAUACCGCGUGAGGGAAGAAUGCCUGUGGGUUGUAAACCUCUUUUUUUAGGGAAGAAAAUAUGACGGUACCUAAAGAAUAAGCAUCGGCAUAACUCCGUUGCCAGCAAGCCGCGGUAAUACGGGGGAUGCAAGCGUUAUCCGGAAUUACUGGGCGUAAAAGCGUCUGCAGGUGGCUUAAAAGUCUGCUGUUAAACUAUUAAAGCUCAACUCUGAGUAAGGCAGUGGAAACUUGUUAGGCUAGAGUAUGGUAUUGGGUAAAAGGGAACUCCCAGUGUACGGUGAAAUGCGUCAAAUAUUGGGAAGAACACCAAGUAACGAAAGCGCUUUACCUAGACAUUACAUGAACACUU